rnacentral:lncRNA from 1 species
GCCUGGGCUGGUGGACCCACAUCCCAGGUUGCACCUGUCGUCCCCGGGCCCAGCAGACACAGGCUCAGGGCGCUGGGUCCCUGGACAGGCCUCCUGGACCACUUCGGAAGGCAUAUCCCGUCCGGGCCUUCUGGGCCAGAGAAGCGGUCAGAACGAGGGGGUUUCCGUCCUGGGUCUCGGGUCGAGCAGCGGUGUCCCCUCGGCAGGAUCUUCCUCCUCCAGGACUCAGUUUCUUCUCGAGCAGGAGCUUUGGUCUCCAGGACAGCAGACCAAGGGCGGAGCACACCCAGCUCGCCCAACAGCGGGCAGAACCAGCGUCCGGCCCUGUCGUCUCACCCCGAGCCCCCGCUGUGUAACCAACGUGUUAAUUGCCUGGUGCCGGGCUCCAGGGGCCCCGCUGGGCCUCCACUGGCAGGGACAGGCCUCAGGGACAGAUCCACGCCAGCUCGGUGAUUCUGCUUCUUCCCAAAGAGCCGCCCUGCCGGCUCCAGAACAGUCCUCAGUGGGCUCUUGUCUCUGUCCGGGAGCCCAAACAGCUUAGGCCCGGAGCCAGAGGGCCUGGAGUUCAGGGCCCACCUCUGCCGUGUCCUGGCCGGGUGCCCUGGGACGGCUGGUGGCCCACUCCCACUUCCCCACCUGCAAAGCAGGGAGAAUGGUCUCACCCACCUCCUAGAACUGUGAACCUUAAAUACUGACCCUGGGUGAAGUGCUCCCAGCACAGCGUGGGCCAGAAUGCUGGCCAUUGUCACCGCUGACCACGGGACUCACUGGCCUUGUGCUUCCACAGGCCGGCCCUGGCCAGCCCAACAUAGGGCUGAGCAGAGACCGGCCAUUCUCCUGGAAGUCCGAGCUGGCAUCCCCCGCGGGCAGCCUCAGCCUCUGUGGCUGGACACUAAGCCUUAUCAGGGCCGGGGAAGGUCAGGGUGGUGGAGGCCGUGGGCUGCGGGCCUGUGUGCUGUGGUCAGUCCUGGGGAAGGAGCCAGGGUCUGAAGCCACACUCCCCAGCCCUAGCAUUGACCUCCGCCCACCAGAAAACCCUGGAGAACAGGGGGACGGGCAGCAGACAAGGCCCAGCAACCGCAGGGACCAAUCCUCUGCCAAAGCCCCACACUUGAUCCCACCCACCACACACAGUCCCCUGAUGGCUUCCUGGCUCCUGAGUCAUGGGGACAGCAGAGGGGCAGCUGCGGGUCUCCAGAGGUGAAGAUCAAGCACAGAGAGUCAGCUCUGCCCCCUUCACCUUCAGCAUCACCAAGUCCCCGGGCGCCAGAGCCCUCCCCAUUGCAUGUGUGUCUCCAUCGCCAUGUGCUGCCCUCUACCAAAGUCCCUGUCCUCAAGGUGUCACAGCCCUGGGAGCUAAGUGUCCCCUUUACCCCUCCCCGUCGUCCUACAAGUCCUGGCCCCUCCUCAGAGGUGAGCCUGACCAGAGCUGCGAGUUGACUCCUCCCCCACCUGACAUCGACUUCUACGGGUAGGAUUUGUUUGACGGAGGACGGGUCAGGGGCUGGGGACGUGGCUCCGUGGUAGAGCACUUGCCCAGCACGUGGAGGCCCUGGGCUUGUUCUUGCAGACAGAAAAGGGCCAUCCCAUACCUGCUGUUCUCUGACUCACCAUUUCUCCUUCUUCUUUUCUUUUCAGAGCGUAGAUCUUUCCACAUUAGUAUACAGAUCUGUCAUAAUUAUCAGCCACUGCAGAUUGUUUACAGAAAACACAUCAGAAAAGGGCAAUCACCUGCACUCUCAAAGAUGUUUUUUUUCUUACUUACGUAAAUUAAGAAGUAAAAGCUCCAAAUAUGGUGUCUGUCUCUUGCAUCUUUUCCUAAGAUUGUGGAGGACGCUGUGGAGAGGCUGUGCUCACUCAAACACACACGCUGGUCUUGCAAGGUGGCACCCUGCUCUUCAC